UACGUAGGGACCGAGCGUUGUCCGGAUUCAUUGGGCGUAAAGAGCUCGUAGGCGGCUGUUCAAGUCGAACGUGAAAACUCGGAGCUCAACUCCGAGCCUGCGUUCGAUACUGGACGGCUAGAGUCUGGUAGGGGGAUCUGGAAUUCCUGGUGUAGCGGUGGAAUGCGCAGAUAUCAGGAGGAACACCGGUGGCGAAGGCGGGACUCUGGGCCGAUACUGACGCUGAGGAGCGAAAGCGUGGGGAGCAAACAGG
rnacentral:rRNA from 1 species